GACCGGAUGUAGUCCUGGAUGAUGGUCUUCCACUUCCGCCGGCACAGCCAGCCCCGCAGGAAGCUCUGCACCUGAGCAGCAAGACCGGUGGGGAGAGGCUCCUGUCAGGGAGUCUGGACCACUCCUGUCCUUCCAGGCUGUGAGCUCCCCAAGGUACCACCACGUCCUAAGUUUGGAGUCUGGAAGAACUGCAUCUGGGAGCUGCUUUCCCUGCCUGUCAUGUGGCUCCCCAAUCCUGCAGGAGCCCAGGGUUUGAGAUGUUGUGCCUAGGGCCUGGGCCCACCCCCCAGCCCGCAGUCACCUCUGCCUUCAGCCGCUCGAUCUCGAUCUCCCCAUCCUCGAUCUGCUGCCGAAGCUGCUUGGCCACGGUCUUCUCUGUCUCCACGAUCUGCAGCAGGUGCAGGUAUUUCUGCAUUAAUGCCUCAUGCUCUGUGGCGAGGGUCCUGUAGCUGUGGACAGAUGGACAUGGCAGGUUGAAUGGGAGACAUUCCUGGGAGGCCAGUGGGCUGACCCAGACCCCAGGGCUUGACAAAGGAAGAAGGCAAACAAUCAGCAUGUCCCAUCAUUCCACCAUUGUCCCAUUGACACGUGCUGCUGGCUUCCAAAAGGAUGAUGCAUAUGGAGAGGUUUUUGUUCACAGCUCCAAGGCUUUCUGGUUCUCAUGGCUGAAGUUCACCGUGAAGUAAUGCUGUAUCAAGAAG
rnacentral:lncRNA from 1 species